rnacentral:rRNA from 1 species
AUGAGGCCGUGGGCGUGGGUGGCGGCCGUCACAUGGAUGGCUGCCUGCACCGCCGCGGCGGCCCACGGCGAGCAGCCGCUGUCGAGGAUCGCCGUCGAGAGGACCACCCUCGCCGUCGACGACGCGGCGCACGUCAAGGCGUCCCCUGCGGUUCUUGGACUGGAGGGCCAGGACAGUGGAUGGGUAGAGCUGGACUUCUUCCAUCCCGACCCCUCCGGUGAUGACUGGAUCGGAGUCUUCUCCCCUGCCAAUUUCAGUGCCGCGAUUUGUGAGCCUGAGAAUAAGAGGCAAUAUCCUCCAGUGCUAUGCACAGCACCUAUCAAGUACCAAUUUGCAAAGUUCAAGAAUGACGGGUAUAGUAAGUCUGGAAAGGGCUAUCUGAAGCUUCAGCUGAUCAACCAGAGAGAAGAUUUCUCAUUUGCACUUUUUUCUGGGGGUCUCUUGAAGCCGAAGCUGAUUGCUGUCUCAAACAAGGUGACAUUUCUGAACCCAAAGGCGCCUGUCUACCCACGUUUGGCGCAAGGGAAAUCUUGGAAUGAAAUGACAGUCACUUGGACAAGCGGAUACGACAUCAAAGAAGCAGUUCCUUUUGUUGAAUGGGGUGAAAAGGGGGGGCUCCGGAUCCUUUCUCCAGCCGGGACAUUGACAUUCGACAGAAACAGCAUGUGUGGUGCACCAGCACGAACUGUUGGUUGGCGCCAUCCUGGUUACAUUCAUACUAGUUACUUGAAGGAUUUGUGGCCAGACUCGAUGUACACGUACAGGCUUGGCCAUAGAUUACCAAAUGGUACCCGCGUCUGGAGUAAGUCAUAUAGCUUUAAGGCAUCACCUUAUCCUGGACAAGAUUCUUUGCAACGGGUUGUCAUAUUUGGGGACAUGGGGAAGGCAGAGGCAGAUGGUUCCAAUGAGUACAAUAACUUCCAGCCAGGCUCGCUAAACACUACUAACCAGAUCAUUAGAGACCUGGAAAACAUCGACAUGGUGGUCCACAUCGGGGACAUUUGCUACGCAAAUGGUUAUUUGUCGCAGUGGGAUCAGUUCACUGCACAGAUAGAACCGAUUGCUUCAACUGUGCCAUACAUGGUUGGCAGCGGUAAUCAUGAGAGGGACUGGCCUGGAACUGGUUCCUUCUAUGGAAAUCUCGACUCUGGUGGAGAAUGUGGUGUUCCAGCACAAACUGUGUUCUACACUCCUGCUGAGAACCGUGCAAAAUUUUGGUACGCGACGGACUAUGGCAUGUUCAGGUUUUGUAUUGCUCACACGGAAGAAGAUUGGAGGCCAGGGACCGAGCAGUACAAGUUCAUCGAGCACUGCCUGUCGUCUGUCGAUAGGCAGAAGCAGCCAUGGCUCAUCUUCCUUGCACACCGUGUUCUCGGGUACUCAUCCAACUCUUACUAUGGAUUUGAAGGCACGUUUGAGGAACCAAUGGGGCGAGAAGCGCUGCAAGAGCUCUGGCAGAAGUACAAGGUCGAUCUUGCCUUCUACGGUCACGUCCACAAUUAUGAAAGGACGUGUCCAGUGUACCAGAGCCAGUGUGUUGUUAACGCAUCAAAUCACUACAGUGGCCCGUUCCAGGCAACGACGCAUGUGGUUGUCGGUGGCGCCGGUGCCAGCCUUUCAGACUUCACCACUUCAAAGAUCCAAUGGAGUCACUUCAGAGACUUCGACCACGGUUUCGGCAAGCUCACGGCUUUCAAUCAUUCAUCCCUGUUGUUCGAGUACAAGAAGAGCCGUGACGGCAAUGUGUACGAUCACUUCACGAUCUCGCGCGACUACCGAGAUGUCCUUGCCUGCUCCGUCGACAACUGCCCCAGGACUUCACUGGCNNNNNNNNNNNNNNNNNNNNNNNNNNNNNNNNNNNNNNNNNNNNNNNNNNNNNNNNNNNNNNNNNNNNGAACAAGCUAG